rnacentral:siRNA from 1 species
GAUGCUUACACAUUUGCUUGCAG